AUGGACAUGAGGGCCCCCACUCAGCUUCUGGGGAUCCUGCUGCUCUGGUUUCCAGGUGCCAGAUAUGACAUUCAGAUGACCCAGUCACCAACCUCCCUCUCAGCAUCUCUAGGAGACAGAGUCACCAUUACUUGCCAGGAAAGUCAGGGCUUUAGCAAUAAUUUACACUGGUAUCAGCAGAAACCAGGGGAUCCUCCUAAGCUCCUGAUCUAUCGGGCACCUAACUUGCAAUCUGGGGUCCUAUCGAGGUUCAGUGGUAGUGCAGUGUUACAAGUCAUUGCAUAA